rnacentral:rRNA from 1 species
AGUGAACGCUGGCGGCAGGCCUAACACAUGCAAGUCGAGCGGCAGCGGGUCCUUCGGGAUGCCGGCGAGCGGCGGACGGGUGAGGAAUACAUCGGAAUCUGCCCUGUCGUGGGGGAUAACCUAGGGAAACUUAGGCUAAUACCGCAUACGACCUACGGGUGAAAGCGGGGGAUCGCAAGACCUCGCGCGACAGGAUGAGCCGAUGUCCGAUUAGCUAGUUGGCGGGGUAAAGGCCCACCAAGGCGACGAUCGGUAGCUGGUCUGAGAGGAUGAUCAGCCACACUGGGACUGAGACACGGCCCAGACUCCUACGGGAGGCAGCAGUGGGGAAUAUUGGACAAUGGGCGCAAGCCUGAUCCAGCCAUGCCGCGUGGGUGAAGAAGGCCUGCGGGUUGUAAAGCCCUUUUGUCCGGGAAGAAAUCGUCUGGGCUAAUACCCCGGGCGGAUGACGGUACCGGAAGAAUAAGCACCGGCUAACUUCGU